rnacentral:rRNA from 1 species
UAGGCGUAAAUAGAUGCGAGUUAAGUGUGGGGGCGAUCUACGAGAUGGCCCUGUGCUGUAGGGUAGCCGUUAAACUCGCUGCCUGGGGAGUACGGUCGCAAGGCUGAAACUUAAAGGAAUUGGCGGGGGAGGCACCACAACGGGUGGAGCCUGCGGUUUAAUUUGGACUCAACGCCGGGAAGCUCACCGGAUAAGACAGCGGAAUGAUUGCCGGGCUGAAGACCCUGCAUGACCAGCUGAGAGGAGGUGCAUGGCGUAGUCGUGU